rnacentral:rRNA from 1 species
AUGAACGCUAGCUACAGGCUUAACACAUGCAAGUCGAGGGGCAGCAUGAACUUAGCUUGCUAAGUUUGAUGGCGACCGGCGCACGGGUGAGUAACACGUAUCCAACCUGCCGAUGACUCGGGGAUAGCCUUUCGAAAGAAAGAUUAAUACCCGAUGGCAUAGUUCUUCCGCAUGGUAGAACUAUUAAAGAAUUUCGGUCAUCGAUGGGGAUGCGUUCCAUUAGGUUGUUGGCGGGGUAACGGCCCACCAAGCCUUCGAUGGAUAGGGGUUCUGAGAGGAAGGUCCCCCACAUUGGAACUGAGACACGGUCCAAACUCCUACGGGAGGCAGCAGUGAGGAAUAUUGGUCAAUGGACGAGAGUCUGAACCAGCCAAGUAGCGUGAAGGAUGACUGCCCUAUGGGUUGUAAACUUCUUUUAUACGGGAAUAAAGUGAGGCACGUGUGCCUUUUUGUAUGUACCGUAUGAAUAAGGAUCGGCUAACUCCGUGCCAGCAGCCGCGGUAAUACGGAGGAUCCGAGCGUUAUCCGGAUUUAUUGGGUUUAAAGGGAGCGUAGGCGGACGCUUAAGUCAGUUGUGAAAGUUUGCGGCUCAACCGUAAAAUUGCAGUUGAUACUGGGUGUCUUGAGUACAGUAGAGGCAGGCGGAAUUCGUGGUGUAGCGGUGAAAUGCUUAGAUAUCACGAAGAACUCCGAUUGCGAAGGCAGCUUGCUGGACUGUAACUGACGCUGAUGCUCGAAAGUGUGGGUAUCAAACAGGAUUAGAUACCCUGGUAGUCCAUGCUGUAAACGAUGAAUGCUAGGUGUGGGGGGACUGACCCCUUCCGUGCCGGAGUUAACACAAUAAGCAUUCCACCUGGGGAGUACGACCGCAAGGUUGAAACUCAAAGGAAUUGACGGGGGCCCGCACAAGCGGAGGAACAUGUGGUUUAAUUCGAUGAUACGCGAGGAACCUUACCCGGGCUUGAAUUGCAACUGAAUGAUGUGGAGACAUGUCAGCCGCAAGGCAGUUGUGAAGGUGCUGCAUGGUUGUCGUCAGCUCGUGCCGUGAGGUGUCGGCUUAAGUGCCAUAACGAGCGCAACCCUUAUCGAUAGUUACCAUCAGGUUAUGCUGGGGACUCUGUCGAGACUGCCGUCGUAAGAUGUGAGGAAGGUGGGGAUGACGUCAAAUCAGCACGGCCCUUACGUCCGGGGCUACACACGUGUUACAAUGGGGGGUACAGAGGGCCGCUGUCCGGUGACGGUCGGCCAAUCCCUAAAGCCCCUCUCAGUUCGGACUGGAGUCUGCAACCCGACUCCACGAAGCUGGAUUCGCUAGUAAUCGCGCAUCAGCCACGGCGCGGUGAAUACGUUCCCGGGCCUUGUACACACCGCCCGUCAAGCCAUGAAAGCCGGGGGUACCUGAAGUGCGUAACCGCAAGGAGCGCCCUAGGGUAAAACUGGUGAUUGGGGCU